GAGCGGAGUUGGGGGUUGUUGCGAGCCCUGGAGGGGAGAGGAGACGGGGAGGCGACGGGAUGGGGCCAGCUGGGAAGGGGACGCGAGGCUCCAGGCUGGACUCCGCUCUCUGCCCCCUCCCGGACUCGGCUGUCUGUCCCCUCCCUCCAGACAGGGUCUGCUGACCACCGCGUGGCCUGGGAGUCUCCGGUGGCCUAGGGAAGUGAAGCGCGGCCCUGGGGAAGGCCUGGAGCAACCCAUCCCCAGAACUCCCACGAGGGGGCGUCCCAACCCGUCUUCGACUGUUGGCCAAAAUGCGCUGCCAAUGCUGGCAGCCUUACGCAGUGCCCGCGGGGGAUAUGAGGCCCCCCGCGCGGCCCUGAACCCCACCGGAUUCCCCGGGCCGGCCCGACCGCCCCCACCUAGUCCCUGGCCCCGCGAGUGCAACCCCCGACACUAACGGCCUUUACGCGACAUCCGAGCAGCGUGUCUAUCCCAAAGGCCUAGGAGCAUUUGCCCGGCUCGGUCAAAUCUAGCGCAAGUUUGAAGCCUGCGGCCUCGCAAUUUUAGCAGCUUCGUUCCAGGCCAGGAGUCUCUGUGGAGUCUUCUUGAAUAAGCUGUGAAACAUUUCCCCACCCGCUUCCCUUUCUUGGCCCAGGCUUCCUGACCACAGCCUCACCUUUGAGCAGCUCAGAGCCCUGCCUGCCAGGAUGCGAGCCACUGCCUGGAUCGUGGCUCUGCAGGGCCACCCAUGAUGGAACAGGUCGCCUGGUGAGGUGCUGACCAGCUAGAGGACCUCCUGACCCCUCCACUUGUCUGCUGGUGUGGAAAAGCCUGGACCCUCCCUCUUGGAGCCUCAGUUUCCCUAUCUGUAAACUUCGGUCUAUCCCAAGCUGAAGAACUGGCCAGUCCCUGCCAUAUGCCUCACUUUCCCCUGGGACACAUUUUAAUAUCCCUUUCCUGGCCAGGUGCAAUGGCUUCCCCAUGUAAUCCCAGCACUUUGGGAGGCCAAGGUGGGCAGAUCACUUGAGGUCAGGAGUUCGAGACCAGCCUGGCCAACAUGGUGAAACCCCAUCUCUACUAAAAAUACAAAAAUUAGCCAGGCAUGGUGGCGCACGUCUGUGGUCCCAGCUACUUGGGAGGCUGAGGUAGCAGAAUCGUUUGAACCUGGGAGGCGGAGGUUGCAGUGAGUGGAGAUCACACCACUGCACUCCUGCCUGGGAGACAGAGUGAGACUGUGUCUCAAAAAAUAAUAAUAAUAAAAAAUAAAAUAAUAUCCCUUUCCUCA